GUCAGCGUCGAUAGCAUGUUGAAUGCACCAGUUCCCAAUAGAUCACUAAAGUUAAGAAACAUUGCGCGUGGUUGGUAUCCAGAUGGGUGACCAACUAAGCAAUCGUGUGCUACUAGCU
rnacentral:rRNA from 1 species